rnacentral:rRNA from 1 species
GAUGGACGCUGGCGGCGUGCCUAAUACAUGCAAGUCGAGCGAACGGACGAGAAGCUUGCUUCUCUGAUGUUAGCGGCGGACGGGUGAGUAACCCGUGGAUAACCUACCUAUAAGACUGGGAUAACUUCGGGAAACCGGAGCUAAUACCGGAUAAUAUUUUGAACCGCAUGGUUCAAAAGUGAAAGACGGUCUUGCUGUCACUUAUAGAUGGAUCCGCGCUGCAUUAGCUAGUUGGUAAGGUAACGGCUUACCAAGGCAACGAUGCAUAGCCGACCUGAGAGGGUGAUCGGCCACACUGGAACUGAGACACGGUCCAGACUCCUACGGGAGGCAGCAGUAGGGAAUCUUCCGCAAUGGGCGAAAGCCUGACGGAGCAACGCCGCGUGAGUGAUGAAGGUCUUCGGAUCGUAAAACUCUGUUAUUAGGGAAGAACAUAUGUGUAAGUAACUGUGCACAUCUUGACGGUACCUAAUCAGAAAGCCACGGCUAACUACGUG